rnacentral:rRNA from 1 species
UACGAAGGGGGCUAGCGUUGCUCGGAAUCACUGGGCGUAAAGGGUGUGUAGGCGGGUCUUUAAGUCAGGGGUGAAAUCCUGGAGCUCAACUCCAGAACUGCCUUUGAUACUGAAGAUCUUGAGUUCGGGAGAGGUGAGUGGAACUGCGAGUGUAGAGGUGAAAUUCGUAGAUAUUCGCAAGAACACCAGUGGCGAAGGCGACUCUUUGGCCUGUAACUGACGCUGAGGCGCGAAAGCGUGGGGAGCAAACAGG